UACGUAGGUGGCAAGCGUUGUCCGGAUUUACUGGGCGUAAAGAGCGCGCAGGCGGUCGUGCAAGUCGCGUGUGAAAGCCCCCGGCUCAACUGGGGAGGGUCACGCGAUACUGCUCGACUCGAAGGCAGGAGAGGGAAGUGGAAUUCCCGGUGUAGUGGUGAAAUGCGUAGAUAUCGGAAGGAACACCAGUGGCGAAAGCGGCUUCCUGGUCCAGCACCGACGUUCAGGCACGAAAGCGUGGGGAGCAAACAGG
rnacentral:rRNA from 1 species